rnacentral:rRNA from 3 species
UCGUCACACUAUCAUUAACUGAAUCCAUAGGUUAAUGAGGCGAACCGGGGGAACUGAAACAUCUAAGUACCCCGAGGAAAAGAAAUCAACCGAGAUUCCCCCAGUAGCGGCGAGCGAACGGGGAGGAGCCCAGAGCCUGAAUCAGCAUGUGUGUUAGUGGAAGCGUCUGGAAAGGCGCGCGAUACAGGGUGACAGCCCCGUACACAAAAGCGCAUGUGCUGUGAGCUCGAUGAGUAGGGCGGGACACGUGGUAUCCUGUCUGAAUAUGGGGGGACCAUCCUCCAAGGCUAAAUACUCCUGACUGACCGAUAGUGAACCAGUACCGUGAGGGAAAGGCGAAAAGAACCCCGGCGAGGGGAGUGAAAAAGAACCUGAAACCGUGUACGUACAAGCAGUGGGAGCACCCUUUGGGUGUGACUGCGUACCUUUUGUAUAAUGGGUCAGCGACUUAUAUUCUGUAGCAAGGUUAACCGAAUAGGGGAGCCGGAGGGAAACCGAGUCUUAACCGGGCGUUAAGUUGCAGGGUAUAGACCCGAAACCCGGUGAUCUAGCCAUGGGCAGGUUGAAGGUUGGGUAACACUAACUGGAGGACCGAACCGACUAAUGUUGAAAAAUUAGCGGAUGACCUGUGGCUGGGGGUGAAAGGCCAAUCAAACCGGGAGAUAGCUGGUUCUCCCCGAAAGCUAUUUAGGUAGCGCCUCGUGAAUUCAUCUCCGGGGGUAGAGCACUGUUUCGGCUAGGGGGCCAUCCCGGCUUACCAACCCGAUGCAAACUGCGAAUACCGGAGAAUGUUAUCACGGGAGACACACGGCGGGUGCUAACGUCCGUCGUGAAGAGGGAAACAACCCAGACCGCCAGCUAAGGUCCCAAAGUCAUGGUUAAGUGGGAAACGAUGUGGGAAGGCCCAGACAGCCAGGAUGUUGGCUUAGAAGCAGCCAUCAUUUAAAGAAAGCGUAAUAGCUCACUGGUCGAGUCGGCCUGCGCGGAAGAUGUAACGGGGCUAAACCAUGCACCGAAGCUGCGGCAGCGACACUGUGUGUUGUUGGGUAGGGGAGCGUUCUGUAAGCCUGUGAAGGUGUGUCGUGAGGCAUGCUGGAGGUAUCAGAAGUGCGAAUGCUGACAUAAGUAACGAUAAAGCGGGUGAAAAGCCCGCUCGCCGGAAGACCAAGGGUUCCUGUCCAACGUUAAUCGGGGCAGGGUGAGUCGACCCCUAAGGCGAGGCCGAAAGGCGUAGUCGAUGGGAAACGGGUUAAUAUUCCCGUACUUGGUGUUACUGCGAAGGGGGGACGGAGAAGGCUAUGUUGGCCGGGCGACGGUUGUCCCGGUUUAAGCGUGUAGGUGUGUGUUCCAGGUAAAUCCGGUUCACUUUAACACUGAGGCGUGACGACGAGGCACUACGGUGCUGAAGCAACAAAUGCCCUGCUUCCAGGAAAAGCCUCUAAGCAUCAGGUAACAUCAAAUCGUACCCCAAACCGACACAGGUGGUCAGGUAGAGAAUACCAAGGCGCUUGAGAGAACUCGGGUGAAGGAACUAGGCAAAAUGGUGCCGUAACUUCGGGAGAAGGCACGCUGACACGUAGGUGAAGUGAUUUACUCAUGGAGCUGAAGUCAGUCGAAGAUACCAGCUGGCUGCAACUGUUUAUUAAAAACACAGCACUGUGCAAACACGAAAGUGGACGUAUACGGUGUGACGCCUGCCCGGUGCCGGAAGGUUAAUUGAUGGGGUCAGCGCAAGCGAAGCUCCUGAUCGAAGCCCCGGUAAACGGCGGCCGUAACUAUAACGGUCCUAAGGUAGCGAAAUUCCUUGUCGGGUAAGUUCCGACCUGCACGAAUGGCGUAAUGAUGGCCAGGCUGUCUCCACCCGAGACUCAGUGAAAUUGAACUCGCUGUGAAGAUGCAGUGUACCCGCGGCAAGACGGAAAGACCCCGUGAACCUUUACUAUAGCUUGACACUGAACAUUGAGCCUUGAUGUGUAGGAUAGGUGGGAGGCUUUGAAGUGUGGACGCCAGUCUGCAUGGAGCCGACCUUGAAAUACCACCCUUUAAUGUUUGAUGUUCUAACGUGGACCCGUUACCCGGGUUGCGGACAGUGUCUGGUGGGUAGUUUGACUGGGGCGGUCUCCUCCUAAAGAGUAACGGAGGAGCACGAAGGUUGGCUAAUCCUGGUCGGACAUCAGGAGGUUAGUGCAAUGGCAUAAGCCAGCUUGACUGCGAGCGUGACGGCGCGAGCAGGUGCGAAAGCAGGUCAUAGUGAUCCGGUGGUUCUGAAUGGAAGGGCCAUCGCUCAACGGAUAAAAGGUACUCCGGGGAUAACAGGCUGAUACCGCCCAAGAGUUCAUAUCGACGGCGGUGUUUGGCACCUCGAUGUCGGCUCAUCACAUCCUGGGGCUGAAGUAGGUCCCAAGGGUAUGGCUGUUCGCCAUUUAAAGUGGUACGCGAGCUGGGUUUAGAACGUCGUGAGACAGUUCGGUCCCUAUCUGCCGUGGGCGCUGGAGAACUGAGGGGGGCUGCUCCUAGUACGAGAGGACCGGAGUGGACGCAUCACUGGUGUUCGGGUUGUCAUGCCAAUGGCACUGCCCGGUAGCUAAAUGCGGAAGAGAUAAGUGCUGAAAGCAUCUAAGCACGAAACUUGCCCCGA